AUUAGAUGGAAAAAUAUGUACAAUGAGAGCUAUACUUGGGCCAGUGAUGAGAAUGUGUCAGGAACUAAAGAUUGUGAUUAAUUCUGUGCUGCUCACCCGACGACCGUUAGAGAAGAUCUCGGUUGUUUCACCGUUUUGAAUAUCUGCCUUGUGUUCCGCAGCGUGGAGGCCCCAGAGUGGGUCUAAUGACACUGUUGAUGAAGAUCUUGGCUGUGACCUCUGUGGGAAAUGAGCCAUGGACCAACCAACGUGAGUGAUGAUUCAACAUACCUAAUCUGAUUUAUUCAUUACCAGUGAUGACGAUCUUGUCUGUCACUUCUGUGGAUAGAAAGCAAAGGGACUCAUAGUGAACACAGGACAGCUGAUUUAAUCACUUAAUAAAGAAUUUUUAUCGUGAGCAAGCAGCAUAAAGUCUAAUAUAAUUAUUGUCCAAUGAUGGGAAUCUUGGCUAUUACUUCUGUGAGUAAAGAGCAAUGUAAGUAAUGAAGUUUCUUUUCUUGGUUUGUGUGGUUUAUUCAUGUGUGGUCACUGAAGUAGCUCAAAAGAAUAAAAGGCUGUAUGCAUAAAACCAAAUCUAAGAACACCAAGUGUGGCCGUAGUGAGAAUGUGUUAUGGCCCAAGGAGUAGAAUGAACACAUUUCAGUACCUCUGAGAUUCAUCUUAAAAAGAGAUGGAAGGCAUUGAAUUAAAUUUUUCAAAACUGUUGUCUAUUCCAUAUUAUUUCUGCACCACAGUUGAUUUAAUAUUUCAAUAUUAUUAGAGACCCAGACUAUUAACUGUUUAGAGGAGGCUCUUAGAAGGGGCAACUUAUUGUGUGUGUUCUAGAUGUAGGGUACCAUUGUGGUUUUUGGAUGGCUCAUUACAUCAUGCUUAAAAUUGAGUGCAUUAAAUUUGUAUGGCCUAAUUAUGGCUAAUUUUUUGUGAUGGUCCUGAUAUGAAACAAGGUUACGCUCGUAUCUAGUCUGUAAACUGUCAGAAAUCAGCCUAGAGGCAAUGAUUAGAGUUACAUCUUGUGACUGUUCUGGGAUCCUGUGACUCAUGGGAUAAUGGAGGUAUAAAUUAGCAAAGACAAAGAGUACCAAGCCUGGACCAGUCAUGAGAUGGGAGGGUGUCUGGAUCAAACAUUUUGAUUAAAGUGAUAUCUAACUCUGAUGUCCAUCAUUUACAAGUGGCCUUUUUUUUUUUUUUUUCCUUUAUGGAAACGAGUAUUCAGCAGAAGUUCAGAAUAUUUGGAUAUCUGGAUCACAGACAUCUUCUGGAGAUAGAUUGAUUUUUACGAGUAAAUCAAUGUAUGAGUAAAUGAAGAAAUGUAAAGAUGGGUAAAUAUAAAGAAAGCAUGGACCAGUUAGGUGAGUAUGUAGCAAACACGGAUUAUUAUUAUACAUUACUAGAGCACUGAAUGGAGAAGGACAUGAGAACCCACCCCACUGUUCCUGCCUGGAGAACCCCGGGGACAGAGGAGCCUGGUGGGCCGCCGUCCGUGGGGUCACACAGAGGCGGGCACGACUGAGUCACCAAGCACAGUGCAGCACAUAGCACUGAAUUUUAGUGAAAUAUAUUCCUAAAGGCUGUUGCUCUUUUUUCAAAGGAGUAUGUAUGCAGAUGAAUUUAAGAUUCAGUAGUAUUGCUUGGUGUAGGUGAUUUGCUAGUUGGCUGUUUAGAGAAGAGAAAAAUUACAAAUAAAUGCUGAUUGAGUAAUUAUUUAAUUGAUAAAAGAAUGAACAUAGCUCAUCUUCAGAAUGUACCUCAUGAAAAUGGUUAUUGUUAAUCCAACUCUUUUCACUGAGUUUUAUUAAAAACAACAAAACCACCUCGUCUUUAAAUCUCUGUAGGUAUUGAAAUAGACAUAUGAAGAUAAUAAAUACUAUUUAAGUUUCUUAUCUGAUGUUAGUUAGUUCCUAGAUAUUGAUGUGUUCUUACAUAUAAAUAGAUGAAGUCCUAAUCACAGUCAAUAGUUUAAAAGGAGGCAAAUGUGGCUCAGUAAGAAAGAAUAAUGACUCAUCUUUAUGUAUACCCCUAAUUCUCUGUUCCUAGUUUAGAUAUGAACAUGUAGGCAGGUACAUGAAGAUCAUUUCUAUUUUGGGUUGUUUCUAUUCUGGAUUUCCAUCAUUUUCUUUGUGUGUUUAUAUAUUUGAACAUAUGGUCACAUAUUCCAUGAAUAAUUCCAUACCUGAAUAAAUACAGCAAUGAACAAUUGAAUUAAUGUGUGAGUAGAGUCAAGCAUAGACUUUGGUGAGAAUAUGCCAUGAAUGAUAAAUUCUAAAUUCAGCCAUUUCACUACAAAUUGAGUCCAUUAAAAGGAUUAUCUAGGCUUUUACUUAUGUGGGUAGGGGUCUGUAGACAGGUAUGAGCAGUAGUAAUAGUUUUUAUUUUUGAGUAAUGAACUCAACUGUGCUCAUUGUAGGAUUUGAAAGUAUUAGUUAAACCAAGUAAUAAAAACGAGUGCUCUUCUUGGGUCAAAGAUGAAAGUGAGACUUGAGUCGACUUCAUGAUUAACCUAGGAUCACACAGCUAAUAUCCUUUAUAUCAGUCUACAUCUGGACAGUUCCUUCUUCUGAACAUUGGCAUUUGACCCCACAGAAUGAAGACUAUGGCUGCUUCAGUCUUCUCUGAGGAAGAUCUUGGCUCUUACCUUUGUGGAAUGGAUGCUCAAUGAUUCAAUUAAGGACUGUAGAAACUUACAAUGGAUGCCUAUUAGCAGAUUUCAGCAUCUCCCAUGGUCAUGUGCUCUAUAGACCAAGAAAUGAAUGAAGAAAAAGAGAGUCAGCAUGAAGCAAUGAAGACAAUUGAUGCCACGUGAAUUAUAGAUGGUGAACAAUAUGUGUGUAUGGAACUCUGAGGUCCAACGCAAAACAUAAUUAAUCAAAUCCCUUUGUUGGAAAUGAUCUUGUAGAGACAGAUACUAGAAAUAUACAGAGAUCGUAUUCUUACCCUGAGUUCUUUGAUUAAAUUCAUUAUUGUUAAUGGAUCAAUAAUGUAACUAUUAAAGGAGUAUAAAUAAAUAGAUGAAGGACCAUUAGAGAAGUACUAAAGGAAUAGAUAAAAGAGAGUGAGGCAUUGUCUAACUGUGAAGAUAUGUGGUGAGGCAAGAGUUAUUAUUAAUAGAAAUUGAAAACACUGAUGCCUCUUAGGUAUCAGUUGAUCAAGGAUCACCAAGAGUCAGUUUUAUUUUCUGAAAAUUAGAGUCAGUUUUAUUUUCUAUGUCAAUCUUAAAUUUGAGGUUAUUCCUUUUGUUAAGAAAAAAUUAAAGUAUGAAAAAUUAGUGACUACCAAGGUGCUUUAAAUAAAUAAAAUAUGGAAUGGAAAAUCAGUUCAGACAAGGUCUCAUUUUUAUUGAAUCAUCUACUCUGCUUUGUAUUUCUCAGAAUGGACCAGUUGAGCUGAUUGAAAAGUUCUUUCAUGGACAUGCUCUCUAGGUGCCUCCAUGUCUUUGGUGUAUAGAGGCCCAUAAAGACGACUCAGAACUCAGAAGUUCAUGGUGGCAUCACUAUAGGAGCGUCAAGCCCUCUAAUCAAUGCACUCAAGCGGAUAUAUGAAUUUUCCAUGGUUUCCUUUGUGUAUUGAGAGCCUAGAGAAGAAUAAUGGACGCACACCAAUGGGUUGAAGUAUCUUCCAUGGUCUUGGGCUCUAUAGACUGAUAAUGGAUACACCUGAAUUGAUUAAGCAUCUGACUGUGAUCAGGACCUCCGCUGGUUUUCCUGUGUAUAAAUACAUGUGGGUCAUUUUCCAGAAUGGAUCCUACAAGCUGAUCUCAGCUUCUGCUCUGAUUAGGAUCAUCAUGUUGCCUCUGUCAGGAGGGCAACAAAGACCACUAAAUGGGUACACCUGGACUGAAAAGACCAAGAUCUCUAGGCUGCCAGUAUGUUUAAGAAAUGAGUAUAUGACUACAUAGAUGAAGAAAAUCGAAUAAGGACAGAUCUGUUUUCCCUAUACAUUCCUUAGUUGAUAGCAAUGUAAGAUAUUUUCAUCAUGAGGAAGAGCACAUUGGAGAUGGUGGGUUCUCAAUGCUGUUCAAGUUUCCCAUGAUUCCUGUGAUCAAAAAAUUUAUCGCUGCAUCUAUGUGUGGGAACCAGUAACAGACACUGGAGUGGACCUCAGCUCCUGCCACAAUGAAGAUCAUCAUAAUGUCUCUGUCAGGAAAGAGAGGCCAAGACUGGACACACUUGAGGUGAUUUAACCAUCUUCCAUGAUCCCAAGCCCUUUGGUUGCCUCUAUAUAUUCAUUAGAAGUAUGGUGACCAGUAAUGGAUGCCCUUGAACUGACUUAAGCAUCUUCCACGGCCUGGAGCCCUGUGGUUGCAUCUGUAUGUUAGGACAAUGGAGAUCAAUAGUGAAUGCACGGGAUCUGAUGGAGGGAUUCCUCAUGGAGCACCGGCCUAGGAUGGCAUCUUUGCUGUUGGGACCAUAGAACCUAGACCCAUAAUAGAAGCUCAUGGUGAUUUCAGCCUCCAUGAUGAUCAAGGUCAUGUGCUUCAGGUUGCUACGAGACAGAGAGCCAGGAAGAGUCCUGAAGGAUGAAAACAUUUCUGAAGUGUCUUUCUGAGAUCCGACACAGAAUAUAAGUAGUCUAUGUCCUUUGUUGAAAUUGUUGUCUGGUAUCAAAAAGAUCAUAUUCUUGUUACUUUCAUAGUUAUAGUAGUUAUUAACAAUGAAUCUAUAAUGAAAUCAUUAAACACAUAAAUAAACAUGUAAGGAAAACUUGUGAAAGUGUUCUCAUAUGAGUAUCUUCUUUCUAGAAAAGGUAUUGUGAAUAAAAAUUCAAAAUUGUGACUCCCGUUAAACUGGAGAGGGUCACUUCUUUGGCCAGAAUGCAAUAGACAUAUAAUAGCCAUUUAUUUAUUCUUUUUCAGAAUAAACUUAAACUUCUUUUAAGAAGUUUAAGAAAUAAACAUAGAAUAAGUAAUGAAUAAUUAAAUGUGGUAUAAAUGAAAGGCCCCAAGUAAGGAUCAGUGGCGAUUUGGUCUCAAUAUUUUCAUCCCCUUCUGUGUUUUGCGCUCCUCAGAAUGAAUGCACUAGAGAUGAUAUAGAAUCUGUCAUGGGCACCAGAUCUGUGGUUGCCUCUGAAUAAUAAGAGAAUGGAGAUUAAUAUGAGUAAUAGUUGAAGUUCCAUUUUCAGUAUUUUUUAUUAAAGAAAUUCACUCAAUCAUUAAGAAAUGUGGAAUAUGAGUGAAGAAGGUAGCUACAUUUCUGUUUAGUAUGUAUAUAUGAACCAUUGUACUGAUUAAUCCUAAAUGGAAAAUGACUAUUAAUGUGAGAUAUGUUAAACUAGCAGUAAUUCUGUAUACACCAAAGCUCCUGUAUUUUUAAUUGCACUGCUAAAAUUGUUAGUGAAUUUAUGAUUUAUACAAUAAAGAAAUAGAAAUGUAUGUAGAAAAAGAGGGUCAAUAUUGGAUCAAUGAUGACUACCCGUGGCGUAUGAGUCAUGUAUGAUGAAUACAUCUCUGGAACUCUGAGAUCCAAUGCAAAUGGAAUCUAUUCCAUUGUGUUGUUUGAAGUGAUCCUAUAGUCAAAGGUUAUGAAUAUAAAAAGAUAUUUGUUUUGGUUAUUAUGACCAUGCAUUUUGUUUUCUAUUUUCAUGAUUUGAUGAAUGAAAUAGUUAGUUGCAAAUUUAUAAAAUAAAUAAUGAUGACUCUAAAGACUUUUCAAUAAUAAAAAUAUGUGGUUUUGGGAAAUAAUACCAACAUAGACUAAUACAUUAAUAUAUAUUGAAAAGACUGAUAUCCAUUAGGUAAAAAAGUCCUAGAAAGAUGUUAUCUCUUUGGUUAAGAGUGAUGUGGAAAAUGAUAGGUAAUAGUUACUGACUGAGUCAGUAAUCGAUUUGACAUUAGAUUCAUUAAGGGAAAAAGAAGUCGAUAUUAUUAUCAUUUAGUAAAUGACUAAGUAACUGUGCAAAUGAAUCACAGAAUAUUGGAUCAAUGGGGAGAAUAUCUGAAUAUUUUUGUCACCUUGUCUGGUUGUUAUUCUUCAGAAGGGGUGUUCCUGCCGCUUCAGCUUUCACUGUGUUCAGUCAUCUGCUGUCUCCGUGUCAGGAAAACCCCAAGAAUGAAUGCAGUAGAAUGAUUUAACAUCUUCCAUGGACGCAAACUCUGUAGUUGCCUCUGUAUAAUAGGAUGAUGGAGAUUAAUAGUGGGAGCAUGAGAUCUGAAAAAAGGAUUCUUCAUGGAGCGCCUGCUUAGGAUGGCAUCUUUGUGGUUGGAACCAGAGACCCAUAACAUUAGCUCAAGUUGAUUUCAGCCUCUACUGUGAUCAAUAUCAUUUUUAGGAAAGAGCAAGAAUGAAGGCAGUAGAGAUGAUUUAGCAUAUUUCAUGGACAUGAGCUCUAUGAUUGCUUCGGAACAGGAGGAGGAUGAAGGUUAAUGUGGAUGUUUCUGCUAUCUCAGCUUCUGCUGUGCUUGGUGGUCACACCACCUGUGUGUCAGGAAGGAACUUAAGGCAAGAAUACUGGAAUGGUUUGCCAUUUCCUACUCCGAGGGAUCUUCCUGACCCCAGGGAUUGAACCCACAUCUCUUGCGUCUCCCACACGAGCAAGUGGAUUCUUUACCACUUGGCCGCCUGGGAAGCUCCUAGUCGUGUCCAACUCUGUGAACCCAUGGGCUAUACAGUCCAUGGAAUUCUCCUGGCCAGGAUACUGGAAGUGGAUGCAUGGAACCUGAAGGAAGGAUUCCUUCUGGAGCAUCAGCCUAGGAUGGCAUCUUUGUUGUACGAGCCAGGAGACAUCAUCUCAUUCCUAGUCUGGGGUUGGAUGAUUUCUCUAAAAAUAAUGACUGCACUAAUCACAUGGGUGACAAAAAAAUGAAAGAAGUUUGGCUAAGAUUCAGUUCAGUUCAGUCGCUCAAUCGUGUCCAACUUUGCGACCCCAUGGACUGCGGCACGCCAGGCCUCCCUGUCCAUUACCAACUCCCGGAGUUGACUCAAACUCAUGUCCAUUGAGUUGGUGAUGCCGUCCAGCCAUCUCAUCCUCUGUUGUCCCCUUCUCCUCCUGCCUUCAAUAUUUCCCAGCAUCAGGGUCUUUUCCAAUGAGUCAGUUCUUCGCAUCAGAUGGCCAAAUCAUUGGAGCUUCAGCUUCAGCAUCAGUCCUUCCAAUGAACACCUAGGACUAAUUUCCUUUAGGAUGGACUGUUUGCAUCUCCUUGCAGUCCAAACGGCUCUCAACAGUCUUCUCUAAUACCACAGUUCAAAAGCAUCGUUUGUCACGCAGCUUUCUUUAUGGUCCAACUCUCACAUCCAUCCAUGACCAAUGGAAAAACCAUAGCUUUGAACCAAAGGACUAGGUGGACCUUUAUCAGCAAUGUAAGUCUCUGCUUUUUAAUAUGCUGUCUAGGUUGAUUCAGAUAGAUCUGAAAUACUGGGAGUCAAUUUUAUUGAUCUGAGUCAAUCUCAAUUAUGAGGAUGUUCUUUCUGUCUAGAGAAAACAAUCUGUACAUUAUGGGAAAGCUAUACAUUUCUCAAUGAUUGGAUAAAUGAAAUGUAGAAUGUAAGAUGAAUGGCGAUAUGUUUCUCUCCCCUUUCUCAUGGACUGUGCUUUGCAUUGUUCAAAAUGGACACAUUUAUGCUGAUUAAGUAUUAUUCCAUGGCGGUGCACCUUCUGACUGACUGCACCUCUGUGUUAGGUCCACAGAGACCAGUGUGAGUAAUAAUCAAUUUUUUUGUCUCGGUUUUGUUCAUUUCUUUUUGUUGGUUUGUGUGAGUGUGAGUGUGUGUGUGUGUAUUCAGUGUAUUGGCCGAAUGUCCCAUAUGGAAUAACAGAAGGCCAAGUCUAGCUCAGUGAUAACUGUCGAAAUUUAUGACACAUUAAUUGAUUACUGCAAAGGUGAAAAACAGUAUCUAAUUUAAAAGAGAUACAUUGUUGUAAGAAUGAUCUAUUUACGCCUUAGGAAUAUCAUGACUUUUCUAAAGUUUUGUAAAUAAUAGGAUUUUAAAAUUAUUAAUAGUAAAUUACUGAGUUAGUCAAUAAACAGAAUUGAACAAAGAGUGGAGUCUCAGUUGUGGACCAAUGAUGAUGGUCGUUUCGGGAAGAGUCCUAAACGAUGAAAACGUGGCUAGAUCUCUGAGGUCCAUGAUACUAUUUUCCCUCUGAUGAGAAACUGUUUAUUUUGUGAGACUUCAGGAAUAUAAAGAGAUCAUAUUCUUGUAUUAAAGUGUUAAAGUAAGAAUAAUUCUGUAUAUAUCAUCUUUUUUAAAAUUGUGCUGAUAAAAUUAUUAGUGAAUUUGUGAUUCAUAAAUUAAACAGAAAUGUAUUUGAAUAAGAUGGACAGUGUUAGCUUGAUGGUGACUCCCUGAGGUGUAUGAGUUGUGUGCAAUGAAUAUGAGUCUGGAACUCUGAGGUUUGAUGCAAAUGAAAUCAAGUCCAGUGACCUGUGUGAAGUGACCUUUUAGGCAGUGGUUAGGAAUAUACAAAGAUCUUUGUUUUGGUUAUUAUCACCAUGCAUUUUUUUUUUAUAAGUGGAUCAAUGAAAUAAUCAAUAUGCAAAUGUGUAAAAUAAAAAAUGAUGAAUAUGUAGCCUUUUCAAUUAUAAAAAUAAGUGGUUAGGCAAAAAUUACUAUUAUGUAUAUAUUGAAAAGACAUUGAUAAUCAAUAGGAAAGAUAUGUUAUGAGGGUAUUACCUCUUUGGCUUAGGGUGAUAUAGACAAUGACAGGUAUUAGUUACUGGCUGAGUCAGUUACAAUUUUGACAUUAUUAAAAAAAAUAAAAAUGCUUCAGUGUA